rnacentral:rRNA from 1 species
UUGACAUGUCCGGAAUCCCGAAGAGAUUUGGGAGUGCUCGCAAGAGAACCGGAACACAGGUGCUGCAUGGCUGUCGUCAGCUCGUGUCGUGAGAUGUUGGGUUAAGUCCCGCAACCGAGCGCAACCCUUGUCAUUAGUUGCCAUCAUUUGGUUGGGCACUCUAAUGAGACUGCCGGUGACAAACCGGAGGAAGGUGGGGAUGACGUCAAGUCCUCAUGGCCCUUAUGGGUAGGGCUUCACACGUCAUACAAUGGUCGGUACAGAGGGUUGCCAACCCGCGAGGGGGAGCUAAUCCCACAAAGCCGAUCGUAGUCCGGAUCGCAGUCUGCAACUCGACUGCGUGAAGUCGGAAUCGCUAGUAAUCGUGGAUCAGCAUGUCACGGUGAAUACGUUCCCGGGUCUU